rnacentral:rRNA from 1 species
ACGGAGGGUGCGAGCGUUAAUCGGAAUUACUGGGCGUAAAGCGCGCGUAGGCGGUUUUGUAAGUGAGAUGUGAAAGCCCUGGGCUUAACCUGGGAACUGCAUUUCAAACUGCAAGGCUAGAGUAUGGUAGAGGGAAGUGGAAUUUCAGGUGUAGCGGUGAAAUGCGUAGAGAUCUGAAGGAACACCAGUGGCGAAGGCGACUUCCUGGACCAAUACUGACGCUGAGGUGCGAAAGCGUGGGGAGCAAACAGG